rnacentral:rRNA from 1 species
AGCAGCCGCGGUAAUUCCAGCUCCAAUAGCGUAUAUUAAAGUUGUUGCAGUUAAAAAGCUCGUAGUUGAAUUUCGGGAUCAAUAUAUCGGUCGUGCCUCCGGUAUGCACUGGUAUUAUUGAUUUCUACCUUCUGACGAACUGUGAUGUCAUUAAUUUGGUGUCAUGGGGAAUCAGGACUGUUACUUUGAAAAAAUUAGAGUGUUUAAAGCAGGCACACGCUUGAAUACAUUAGCAUGGAAUAAUGAAAUAGGACGUUUGACCCUAUUUUGUUGGUUUCUAGGAUCGACGUAAUGAUUAAUAGGGAUAGUUGGGGGCAUUAGUAUUCAAUUGUCAGAGGUGAAAUUCUUGGAUUUAUUGAAGACUAACUACUGCGAAAGCAUUUGCCAAGGAUGUUUUCAUUAAUCAAGAACGAAAGUUAGGGGAUCGAAGACGAUCAGAUACCGUCGUAGUCUUAACCAUAAACUAUGCCGACUAGGGAUCGGAUGAUGUUAAUUUUUUAAUGACUCAUUCGGCGCCUUACG